ACAGUAGUAAGUAUCUAAGUAUUUGUAGUUUCGGCCUACAAGGGGGAGGGGACCUCCACUGCUGUG
rnacentral:tRNA from 1 species